UGAACCGCAAAUCUGGCAUAAGCUUGAUGUAGCCAUGCCCCUGCGAUGCAUGUUUACCUGUGUUGCUACAGCGUUGCAGGAAACCUUCCACGCCAGAAGCUUUGACCUUUGGAGGUACAGGACAAUCCCAGAUAAGCUUCCACGCCGGUCUUUCGCCAUCCGGCAUGCAACUCGUUGCACCACGGUCUGGAUCCUGCAUGAGACAGUUCAGGCCAAGGCGAUAAGCGCUCUUUACAGUGAAAUUACCUCGUUUUUCUGGAAACCAAGCAACGAAGUCGUCGUCAUUGCGUUGUGAGGGUUGGAUCUUUAGAAUUUCUGUUAUGUUUUCCUCUGUAAAGUACUGCUCUAAACGCUGUAGGUUCCAGGCUGGUAGCAGAAAAUCUGCAACCCAGCGGUACCUACAUCGUCCUUGGCUUGAUCGCGGGAGGUGGUUCGGUUCCCUGGGUAUCCAGGGAUCCCGCCAUGCACAUAUCUUCGACCCAUGAAUUUGCAAUGGUAAAUAAAUAAACACCAGCGUUAGAUUUGUUAACAUUCAAUUGGAAAGGAUCGAUGCUAUCAAAAUCUUCCACAUUUUAGUGCUCACACUACUGUGGUGUGAAUGCUAUUGGCAGGACCUGUCAUCAAUCACAAGCAUCAUCCUUAAUGUGGACCAUUCUGUGUACACCAAAUUUGACUUCUCUACCAUGGAUACUGGCUGGAACUGUCUUGCUCGCCUACUGCAGUUGCUCCCUGGACCCUAACUUGAAGUCUUCAAGUGUGGAAGACUAAUCUACUCUGUUUGGUCUAGAUCUAAAUCUGGAGGUCUUUAAAGGUCAAGGGAUCCCCAGCGAUGCAGGUCAAUAAUGUGAGGACUGAGGAUGGCGAGAUGAGGAAAAAGACGGGUGAGAUGACGGUGAGCCUUGGCCACCGCCCCGAUUCACCGCCGCUGCCGCUACUGCUGGAAGUCGACCACCUGCUGGAGGAGAUCCUCCUCCGCCUCCACCCACUGCCGUCAUCCCUCCCGCGAGCCUCCCUCGUCUCCCAUCGCUGGCACCGUCUUGUCUCCGAUCCCGGAUUCUUCCGCCGCUUCCGCCUCCACCACCGCCGGAAUCCUCCACACCUAGGCUUCUUCGAUGUGGAUUCCCACGACCUCUACUUUGUACCAGCCCUGGAUGCCCCUAAUCGUGUCCCGCCUGGGCGAUUCUCCUUGCAGUUCAACGAAGGUGACAAGUUCCAUCUCCUCGGAUCUCGCCAUGGCCUCGUACUCGUCCUCCAACCACCAUAGAAGCAGCUCUUGGUGUGGGAUCCAAUCACUGCUGACCAACACCACAUUAACCUUCCCCCAGGGUUUGCAGGACCUGUGUUCGCGAUCCAUGGAGCUGUACUUCGCGAUGUCGUAGAUGCUCAACACUUCCAGGUGGUCUUGGUAGAUGUAGAAGCCGAAGACCCUCAUCAUAGCCGAGUGCUCGCCUGUGUUUAUUCAUCGGAGACCGGCGUAUGGGGUGAUCUCAUCUCGGCACCGCUUCCGCCCAUGGUUCCUUCGAGUAACCGUGUUGUCUUUGUUUAUCCAACCAAGCCGGCUGUGCUGGUUGAGAAUUCCCUUUACUGGAUCCUUGAUGGGGAUUUGGUUGGUAUUCUUGAGUUUGAUUUAGAGAGGAAGAGCAUAGCUGUGAUAUAGCCGCCAGUAGAUGUGCUUACCAAGAGUAAAUAUCAAUAUACAGUUGUGCGGACUGAGGGUGGUGGGCUUGGUUUCCUCUUUGUGUCAAGAUCACAAUACAACGCACAAUUAUGGAAAAGGAAGACCAAUCUCGAUGGUGUUGCGUCCUGGGUGCUGGAAAGAACUAUUGAACUGGAGAAACUACUUUCCCUGAAUUCUGGGGCAAGAGUGAACCUGUCCGUAAGAGGGUUUGCUGAGGACAAUAAUGUGCUCUUCCUGGGGACACCUAUUGGCGUAUUCAUGAUCCAUAUUGAGUCACUGCAGUUCAAGAAACUUCCGGACCACACGUUGGUUUCUUGCAAUCAUUCAUUUGAAAGUGUCUAUGCAGCAGGUACCUGAGUUACAUUGGGGUGACUAAGACGCAGAGAGAGUUUUUGGGUGUAGUUUCUUCCAUUCAUAUGCUGGACGC